UUUUUCUUUUUGCUGCAAACAGCUUUAUUGUUUCCACUUGGUCCAAUGCAUGGGAGUGGGCUCCAGGGUGGUGAAAAGAAAGGCUAGGGGUUUCGGGGAGAGGCUCAGGCAAAAGCCAGACACCGGGGGGGAUGCAGAGGGGCCCCUCGAGGCCGCUGGGCUCCCAAGGCUCCUCGGGGUGCUUGUGUGGGGGCGGGGAGCCUUUCCACGCCCAGCCCAGCCCAGGCCACCAGCCUGCCCAGAAGGAAUAAGCAAUGACCUACAGAAAGUGAGAAACUACCAACUCAUAACAGGAGUCAUAGAUAACAUUGAGCAGUCAAGAAUGUGGAAGACAUGCAUUUACCCGAUUCCAGGGCAUUCGGGACUGGUAAUUGGGCAUCAGAUACAGCUACGAGCUUCCUGGCAGGCAAGGCAUAAAGGGAAUGAGAAUGGGCGUCGGAACCUCCCUAUCUGAUCAAGGUUGCUUGACCUCCCAAAUGCUGACCUUCAGGUCCAAGGAAGGGAGACCUGGCAGAGUCAGGGCUGCUGAAGACUGAAGGAGAUGGGACGAGGGUGGGUACUGACAACAAGGCCGGAGCUGGGCGGGUCGGCGCUUCGGGGAGAGGCCUGCAGGACAGCCUGGUCCGCUGGCCACAGCGGCACCCCCUUCCCUUCUGGGACGCCGCCCCACAGCGGCCCAUUUAUUCUCAGCUGCUCAGGGACGGCCACUGUGAGCCCGCACCGCUCCGGGCUCUGGAGAAAGAGCAGUGAGCAGAACAGACAGGAGGCCCGGCCGGUGUGGCUCAGUGGCUGAGCGUCGACCUACGAACCAGGAGGUCACAGUUUGAUUCCCGGUCUGGGCCCAGGCCCAGGUUGUGGGCUCGAUCCCCAGUAGGGGGCGUACAGGAGGCAGCUGAUCAAUGAUUCUCUCUCAUCAUUGAUGUUUCUCUCUCUCCCUCUCCCUUCCUCUCUGAAAUCAAUAAAAAUACAAAAAACA